GCUGUCCAAACCUUCGCAUUCUCAUGCAUUUAAAACAGAGCUGUAGUUUGAAAUUUCUUCCAUAGACCGACCUCUAGUGUUUCCGACUGACAAGCACAGGAAGAAAGAGGCAAGGUGAUAAUAUCUCUGUCAACUGAGAUCUGCUGCACUUGUAGAUCAUGGAAACAUGGAACUUAUAUGAAGGCAAUGUCUAUCCAAAAAGGAGUUAUACAAGAUACAGAAGUCCAACACAUUCAUUUUUGCAUGAGCUGGUCAUGGAUGGACCUUGAGAAUAUUUGCAAAUGGGCCACUGGAAAGCAUCUGACCACAGACAACUUGAACAAAGGAGAAACUAACAAGAACUGAUGGGUAAAACUUCCAUGAUUUGCCACUUAGAAGCAAACCCUUGGUAAAGAUGCCCAUUUCUUAGGCUCUUGGGCCCUCUCUCUGAUGUCAUG